rnacentral:rRNA from 1 species
GACGAACGCUGGCGGCGUGCUUAACACAUGCAAGUCGAACGGAAAGGCCCUGCUUGCAGGGUACUCGAGUGGCGAACGGGUGAGUAACACGUGGGUGAUCUGCCCUGCACUUCGGGAUAAGCUUGGGAAACUGGGUCUAAUACCGGAUAGGAGCCAUCUUUAGUGUGGUGGUUGGAAAGUUUUUUCGGUGUAGGAUGAGCUCGCGGCCUAUCAGCUUGUUGGUGGGGUAAUGGCCUACCAAGGCGGCGACGGGUAGCCGGCCUGAGAGGGUGUACGGCCACAUUGGGACUGAGAUACGGCCCAGACUCCUACGGGAGGCAGCAGUGGGGAAUAUUGCACAAUGGGCGCAAGCCUGAUGCAGCGACGCCGCGUGGGGAUGAAGGCCUUCGGGUUGUAAACUCCUUUCGCUAGGGACGAAGCUUUUUUGUGACGGUACCUAGAUAAGAAGCACCGGCUAACUACGUG